rnacentral:lncRNA from 1 species
CUUGGAUAUACACUAUGAUAUACAAACUAUAUUUAUAAUUUUUAUUACUUGUGAGAAAUAAUUUAAAAACCUAGAAAAAAGAUUGUAGAGAUUUGGGAAAUAAUCUUGAAAGAUUUUCGAAUUCUAACAAAAAGAAAUAAAAGCCUAUUUUUAGGGUAAUGGUUGGACCAUUAGAAGAGAGAGAAGAUCAUUAAAUGUUAAAUUUAGGUUACGUGUGCCAAAUGCUAAAACAUAGGCUAUUUUCUGCCAAUUAUUGGACUAAAUUGUUAUGCAAUGCCAAAUCCUCUAGAAGAAAAGGGGUAAUUUUGUUGUUUAAAGGUAAAUGGGUCAGCUUUUAUUUUUUGGUUAAAAAGGCCAAAAGUUGAUACAAUCUUGAUUCUUUACUUAGUUUGCAUUUAUGACCAUUAGCUACAUAGUCACAAUUGUAUAAACGCAUACUUUACAAAAAUAGCCACUUUUGCAAAUCUGGCAAAAUGGCCAGAUUCAAAAAAAAAAUUAUCACAGCAUUCCUAGAAGCAUAUGUUGGCAGUGAAAUUUCAGCAACUAAAACGAACUCAAGCUAUGUGUUAUACACCCUCAUUCAUGGCAUACUUAGCAUUGUUACUCGAAUACAAUAGCUUGGAAAUAGGCUUAAAAAUCCAUAAACUACUUACAUAUCACAUUCAAAAACUUGCGACUCAAUAUUCAAGUAUUAUGAAGGACUAUAUUCACAUAUCACAUGCUUGAUACAUAACAAUAACAUACAAGCUCUUUUGUUGUCAAAUUAUUCAUCACAUCAAACACAUUUAAAUGGUGCAGCAUGUUCAAGUAGUUCCAAUUGCUGAAAAUACAUACAUUACGAGUCCAGCAAAAGAAUUACCUGGAUAGCAAAAGAAUAAAAAGUAGUAUAGCAAUUAAAGCAGCAUAAAAACAACAGCACAACAGCCACAAAACCAACAGUAAAUCCGUGUUAAAACAACCUAAAAACUCAUAGAAGAAACCCAGAAACGAACUCUAAAGAGGAUUUAUACUUUUCUAAAAAGUUUGCACUUUAAGAUUCACUCUUAAGACUUACAAUUUCAGCUUACUAAAGGAUGUUUCAGCUGCUGAAUUUUUCUUUUUGUUUUUGUAUGUUCAAAGCAAAAAUAAAAAUGCUCUCCCGAAAUGUGAUGGAGUCCCCCCCCCUAUAUAUCAAAACAACCAGCUAUUUCAAAAAAUUAAAAAUAAAUCUUUUUGACAGAUUUUUCUACAAAAUCUGCUCUUAAAUUCAAAAGACCAGACUUUCUGGUUCAAAUCAUAUCAAGUAUUUCAAACAAAAUCUGCUUUCCACUAUUCAAAGACAGACUUUUAUUCAAACACUGUCCAAAGGUCUACAUUUUCUUACCAAACAAUUUGACUUUUAAGUGUUGUACUCAAAGAGUCUUGAAGCAAUAAAUAAACAACCAAAGAAGUACCAUAUACUCUUAAGUAUUUUUCACUACCUCACUUUUAUCAACACAAAACUAUUUUACUACUUCAACAAGUGCAAAAACAGAAAAUUUAACAUUUCAAACUUCAAAAACUAAUGCUAAAAUAAUUAAUAAUAGACAAAAAUAAAAUCUGAAAAAAUAAAAUAAAAAUAAAAAAACAGCCACGAAAAAGAAUAGGAUUUUUACCAUUUUAUAAUUCAAGUGACCAAAAAAAUGGUGGUAUGCCCAAAGAGGGUGUUCGGGGAGGUCGCCGAAAUUUGGCCGGAUUUUGGUCGCCGGUUUUUUAGGGUGAAAUUUGCAUCAAUAGCUAGGUCUUGAGGAGCUAUAUCCAUUGAUGUAGGUAUUGUGGGGCGGUAGUGGUUGGAGCUUCAAGAAUUUGGGCAAAAAAGUGACGGGAAAGUUUCCUAGAUCUAAGAUUCAAGGAGUUUGAGGGAUUUUUGAAGGAUUUGGUUUGGAGAUAUGGAAAGAGAAAGUUGUGGACAUUACAUGGCGUAAAUUUGGAGGUGUUUGGAGGUGGUCCGCUGGCGGCGGCGAUUUCCGGCCGGCAGCGGUGGGCGGAGCUGGGGCGGCGUAGAAAGAGUGAAGAGAGAAGAAGGAGAAAAGAAUUAUGGGUGAAAAUGGGG